UGCCAGCCGCCGCGGUAAUACAGAGGGUGCGAGCGUUAAUCGGAAUUACUGGGCGUAAAGCGCGCGUAGGUGGAUGUUUAAGUCGGAUGUGAAAGCCCUGGGCUUAACCUGGGAACUGCAUUCGAUACUGGGCAUCUUGAGUAUGGUAGAGGGAAGUGGAAUUUCCGGAGUAGCGGUGGAAUGCGUAGAUAUCGGAAGGAACACCAGUGGCGAAGGCGGCUUCCUGGACCAAUACUGACACUGAGGUGCGAAAGCGUGGGUAGCAAACAGGAUUAGAUA
rnacentral:rRNA from 1 species